AUUGACCUCGGAUCAGGUAGGGAUACCCGCUGAACUUAAGCAUAUCAAUAAGCGGAGGAAAAGAAACCAACUGGGAUUGCCCUAGUAACGGCGAGUGAAGCGGCAAUAGCUCAAAUUUGAAAUCUGGCUCCCUUUGGGGGUCCGAGUUGUAAUUUGCAGAGGGUGCUUUGGCGUUGGUGGCGGUCUAAGUUCCUUGGAACAGGACAUCGCAGAGGGUGAGAAUCCCGUUUGUGGUCGCCUGCCUUCGCCGUGUAAAGCCCCUUCGACGAGUCGAGUUGUUUGGGAAUGCAGCUCUAAAUGGGAGGUAAAUUUCUUCUAAAGCUAAAUACUGGCCAGAGACCGAUAGCGCACAAGUAGAGUGAUCGAAAGAUGAAAAGCACUUUGGAAAGAGAGUCAAACAGCACGUGAAAUUGUUGAAAGGGAAGCGCUUGCAGCCAGACUUGCCCGUAGUUGCUCACCCAGGCUUUUGCCCGGGGCACUCUUCUGCGGGCAGGCCAGCAUCAGUUUGGGCGGUCGGAUAAAGGCCUCUGUCACGUAUCUUCCUUCGGGAUGACCUUAUAGGGGAGGCGACAUGCGACCAGCCCGGACUGAGGUCCGCGCUUCUGCUAGGAUGCUGGCGUAAUGGCUGUAAGCGGCCCGUCUUGAAACACGGACCAAGGAGUCUAACAUCUAUGCGAGUGUUUGGGUGUCAAGCCCGAGCGCGUAAUGAAAGUGAACGGAGGUGGGAACCCUUUGGGUGCACCAUCGACCGAUCCUGAUGUCUUCGGAUGGAUUUGAGUAAGAGCAUAGCUGUUGGGACCCGAAAGAUGGUGAACUAUGCUUGAAUAGGGUGAAGCCAGAGGAAACUCUGGUGGAGGCUCGCAGCGGUUCUGACGUGCAAAUCGAUCGUCAAAUUUGGGCAUAGGGGCGAAAGACUAAUCGAACUAUCUAGUAGCUGGUUCCUGC
rnacentral:rRNA from 1 species